CCUACGGGUGGCAGCAGUGGGGGAUAUUGGACAAUGGGGGAAACCCUGAUCCAGCGACGCCGCGUGAGUGAAGAAGUAUUUCGGUAUGUAAAGCUCUGUCAGCAGGGAAGAAAGAAAUGACGGUACCUGACCAAGAAGCCCCGGCUAACUACGUGCCAGCAGCCGCGGUAAUCCGGAGGGGGCAAGCGUUAUCCGGAAUUAAUGGGUGUAAAGGGAGCGUAGACGGCGAGGUAAGCCUGACGUGGAAGCCCGCGGCCCAACCGCGGAACUGCGUUGGGAACUGUUUGGCUGGAGUAUGGGAGGGGUAGGCGGAAUGCCUGGUGUAGCGGUGAAAUGCGUAGAUAUCAGGAGGAACACCGGUGGCGAAGGCGGCUUACUGGACCAUAACUGACGUUGAGGCUCGAAAGCGUGGGGAGCGAACAGGAUUAGAUACCCCUGUAGUC
rnacentral:rRNA from 1 species